GCUGAUCCUGCUGCUCUGCGUGAGAUGAAUGAAACCAGCUGAAUCAAAGCUCCUGCUUUAAGAGGAGCUUUAUGAAUGUGCAUCAGGGAAGAUGGCCACUCUUUAUUUAUUUAUUUAUUUAUUUAUUAAUGCCUUUGCUUACAUACUUACUUUUACAGACGUGGCUCUUGGCUUUUGGCACAGUGCAUCACAUGUGGUACAUGAGGUAACAACCUUGCAUGCAUUGGAUGUUAAUCUACACAGAUUUCUCUCCUGAAAACUGUUUACUUGGUUGAGUAAAGCGCUUCUGUUUAUUUGUAGUAAGCUUAGAUUUGCAGACUUCCACUAAAGCUAGCUGUGGUUAGUGGCUAAUGCCGCCUGACAGCACAACAAGGAGGAGCCCUUAGAGUUCCGGUAAGUCAGGGCGAUAUUAGCUAGUGGUUUGUCUCACAUAGCUUUUUUAACAUGGUAAACUUGCAGGCUGAUGUACACUCACUUCUGAGCGGUAAAAGUGCUAGCGCUUAGCGCAGUUAGCAGGCAAUGCUAAUGCUGCUCCAGCAGUGCUAGCCAGAGUUAGCAGCAGGCUACAGGCCGAUAAUACUCACCUCCAAAUGGCAAAAAAGAUAGUGCUUAGCACAGUUAGCUCAAAACAGGGUGUUUGCUAGAAAUGUGAAAAGCCGCUGCACUACUGCACAACACCAUUUAGGUUAGCACCUGGGAAUUUAUGACUACUACAUACUUGUAUUUAUUGUCAGUCAAAUUAGCUUGCAGUAAUGCAAAUGUGACCAACUGGACUACAACAGUUACCAGUUAAACUACCAGUUAAACUACAACAGGUGAAGAUGAGGUUUUGUGCAGCAUUACUGUGUAGAAAUGACUGUGGACUCAUGACACAUGAAGAUCACACCUUUACACACCCUAUUAAAUAUUCUCGCCUGGCAAAUAUUUGUAAUGAGCUGCCCUGUAGUUUAGUUUAAUGAGAACAAAUAGGCUUAGGUGGGUAGAAAUAAAAUAUUAAUGGUUCGUUUAACA
rnacentral:lncRNA from 1 species